rnacentral:rRNA from 1 species
AUUGAACGCUGGCGGCAGGCCUAACACAUGCAAGUCGAACGAGUGGCGGACGGGUGAGUAAUGUCUGGGAAACUGCCCGAUGGAGGGGGAUAACUACUGGAAACGGUAGCUAAUACCGCAUACCAUCGGAUGUGCCCAGAUGGGAUUAGCUUGUAGGUGAGGUAACGGCUCACCUAGGCGACGAUCCCUAGCUGGAAGGAGAGGAUGACCAGCCACACUGGGACGGAGACACGGGCCAGACUCCUACGGGAGGCAGCAGUUGGGAAUAUUGCACAAGGGGCGCAAGUCUGAUGCAGCAAUGCCGCGUGUAUGAAGAAGGCCUUCGGGUUGUAAAGUACUUUCAGCGGGGAGGCGUUACCCGCAGAAGAAGCACCGGCUAACUCCGUGCCAGCAGCCGCGGUAAUAC